UAUAUUUUGCACAAUGUCGCUGACCUUUUCAAUCAGUAGCUAUCAGAAAUCAGGCAAAUUAUUUUUAUUUUCACGAUAUUUCUUCGUUUGAAAAAUCUGAGUGUGUUUAUUUAUUAAUUAAUUUAGUUAGAAAAUUUUAUAUAUGAAAAUAAUUAAUACAAUUGUACCGUGUAAAUACGACCUUCGUCAUGAUGAUAUGAUAAAAGAAAAGAAAAUGAUACCUCCAACGAUUUUACAAACUAGAAUUGACAUUAUUUUUAAUAACCUAAAUCGAAAUAAUUUCAAACAAAAAUGUCAUGAAAUUAAAGCUAUUUUGAUUGAUGAUUAUUGGCCAUGGAUUGCACAGCAUUUGGUAUCCAAAUGUGUAACCGCAGGAUUGAACUUUCAUUUAUUAUAUUCUGAUUUCCUCGACUACCUCAAAAUGCCAGAAGUGCAUAAAAUGGUUGCCCAAGAAACUUACAAGCAAAUUGAAGAUUUAUUACCAAACGAAGAAAAAUCUGUUAACGUUUUCGAUCGAUCUUCGAUCAAAAACUUAGGUCGAUGGCUAGGAAUUCGAACAUUAAGAAAAAAUAAACCAAUACUCCAAGCUGAUGUUGACAUAAAAGGUUUACUUGUUGAAGCAUACUAUAAAAGCCAGCAUGAAAUUCUUUACAUAAUAUCUUUUGUGACUAAAAUUCUUGAAAACUGUGCUCAAAGUCGAAUUUUUCAACCUCCUAAUCCUUGGACAAUGGGUAUCAUAAAUAUUCUGGUUGAAUUACUUCAAGAUCCGAACCUCACACUGACAGCAAAAUUUGAGAUUGAAAUUUUAUGCAAAGCUUUAAAAAUCAAAACUUCAGAAGUUCGACCGAAAAAUUAUCUAAAAAAUUCUGAAAACUUCAGAUUUUUACCACCUCAAUUAUUUGAUAGCCAGACACAAAACUUAUAUCAAGGUCCUGUAAAACAAAAUGCUGAAAAUACAUUAGUUCAAAGAGCAGCUUCUGAACCAGUCCGAUUUAUUGAUACAAUUCCAAUUCUUCCUACAAUCAUUACUGAACAUUUUGUGAUAGAUAAUCAAUUAACAUUUUUUCAAUCCUAUCAAGACUUAAAACAACUAGUUAAACCUGCAAUAGAGAACACUAUUCAGGAAUGGGUCAAUCGAGUUGAUAACAAAUCACUUCAGAUAGCCUUGAGAACGACUGAGCAUAUUAUUCGCAAAGAUUUUGCUUUAGAUUCGAAUGUAAACCGAAUGAAAAUAGCAGCACGACAAAUGGUGAAGACUUUGGCUGCAGCAAUGGGAAUGACAGCCUGCACGAGUGAAAUUUUAACAUCAAUCACCGAUAAUUUAAAGCAGCUCUUCAUAUCUGUAUUCACAGGGCCAAACCAGCCACCAAGAGAUCUUAUAAAUCAGACAGCCAACAUAGUAGCGGCUAAUAAUUUGGAGCUAACUCGUGCCUUUAUUCAAAAGAGUACAAUUCAAAAGGCUGUAUUCGAAAUUGACAGAAGAUUAUUUAAGGAGAUACAACUUAGAGAAAAUGCUCGUCGAAAUGGAGUAUGUUAUUUUAAUUCACAAGCCAUAUGUCAAGCAGAAAGAAUGCCAGAACGAAUUCGAUUGAGGACUAAUGGUGUAACUUCACAACAAAUGAUAGUGUAUGAAACGUUUGAAAAGAGUUUCUUCAAUUUUCUAUUACUUGAUCGAGCACCACUUGUUCCAAGUGGCCCACUUGAACUCAGAAUCGAUCAAAAAUUAGAUCGCAAUAACAAUAACCCAAUUAUUUUGGCAAGAACGAAAUUUUUACUACAAAAAUGGAUGAGAAUAUAUCAAUGCCCUCAAUAUAAAAAUAAUUCCAUCAAAAAAUUCGAAAUGUUUAUUCAUGAAAUGAAUGCUCAGGAAAUUUUGAUAUCAGACGAUUCUUUAAUGGAGUUUUUUAAGAUGAGCAUACAAUUGAGUAUAGAUGACUCCUAUCAUGUUUUAACAAAUUUUAAGUCAAUGACAGCAGAUGAACGCAAUCAAUAUGUUUUACGUCUUGAUGCCUUUAUUCUAUUGAUAUUUGUGUUUUUCAAACACUAUGGUGACGAAACAAAUAUUUCGACAAAAAUUAAUUUACUCAACAAACAACUUGAAAUAAUUGUUGAAAUUUUACUGAAAGAUUAUGAAAAACAAGGAGUUAAUUUCCUGCAGUUUCCAUAUUAUCAUAUUUUCAUUUCACUUAUCUCACAAUUAUGUCUGCCUCAGUCUUUUCUGGAAGUAAUUGAUUAUCAAAUUAUAACGUCACUUGGCAAUAUUUUGCAUAUCUUACGACCAGAAAGAGUUCCUGGAUUUGCUGUAUCUUGGUUGAGGAUUAUAUCUCACGGCGAUUUUAUUGGAAGAAUAAUAUCUUUAAGGUCUCAAAAAAAAUGUCGAAAAAUGUAUGCUCGAUUAUUAUCUGAUCUAUUCAGAUAUUUAGCACCAUACAUUCAUCAACCUAUGAUAACUAAUUGUGUUUGGGUGUUGUAUGAAGAAACCAUAGGUAUACUUUCAAAGCUACUACGUGAUUUUCCUGACGUUCUUUCAGAUUACUAUUACGAAUUCUGUGAUAUUUUACCUCUGAAUUGUCUACACAUGAAAAAUAUAAUUCUUAGUGCACUACCAAACAAUGUAACAUCAUCAAAUAUGAUAAUUAGAAUACAUCCUGAAAUAGUUCAUGCUCUCUGUACAAUUCAACCAUUAAGUUUUAAAAGAGAUUUAGAUUUAUAUUUAAAUAAUUAUGAAUCGAGCAAUUUUGUUAUUGGACUUAAGAAUAGACUUUAUGGAGUACAAACUGGAACUCGCUAUAACAUUCAAUUGAUCAAUGCUUUGGUUUUUUAUUUAGGAAUUCAAGCAAUGGCUACAUUAUUUAAUAAAGGUCAUGUAGUUGAUAUAAUGAAAAUAAAGAAUUCUGCACACAUGACAGUUUUUCGAAGUCUAUUGGAAGAUUUUGAUACUGAAGGACGUAUUAUACUUUUGAAUUCAAUUGCUAAUCAUUUACGUUAUGACAAUGUUUACACUCGUUAUUUUAGUUUUAUAAUACUUAGCCUCUUUCUUGAGUUCAAAAAUAACGUAGUGCAAGAACAAAUAACUGAAGUGCUUGUUGAACGACUAGCAGUCAAUAAACCUUAUCCUUGGGGUUUAGUUCGUACUUUUGCAGAACUUAUUAAAAAUCCUAUUUAUGAAUUUCAUUCUCAAAAGUUUAACGACUGCACUGAGGAAUUCAAAAGGUCAUUGAAUUUUGUAAUGGGAUCACUUGGGUUACAAAAUCAAAUUGGAACAUAGAGAUACGAAUGAAAGAUUUUUGUGAAUUGAAACAUAUCACUCUAAAUGAAAUUAAGUGAAUUUUGUGUACAGAGAGUCACUAAUUGUGUAUCUAGAAAAUAUUUGUAUAUAUUGAAAUUGUAUUACUCUGAAAAUUAGUAUAAAUUAUUUUUAUACAAGUACUUUUUGUAAAGAGUACAAGAAUGAAUGAAUGAAUGAAUUUUUUUAAAAUUUACCCACUUAGCCAUCAAUGUUAUUAAAAAUUCUUAGGUUAUGUAAAUAUUGAAUGAAUCGAUAAAAGGAACAAAAUAUAGUUCUCUCUAGAAAUUGAUGGUUUUUGAUGACAAUUUUCUUGAUAAAAAAUGAAAAAGAUUUUUACACAGAUAUCGUCAACAAGCAGCUGCACACACAGUAUUAAAUGAAAAUUAUCCCAAGAGAGAAGAUGAAAUAACAACUAGGUUCACUGAGCCAACAGUAACGACCAUGUAUAAUAAUGAAGAACCAUCUCUUGGAUUGUUUCCUGCAACAGAAUUACCUACGGAAACUCUGACACCUAAUCAAAUUUCUAAGGACGUUGAUGACGAUGUUCCAAUGAUGACAUUACUCAAGCAAGGUCUAAUGCUAUUGAAUUUUGAACAUCGAUCUGCAUUGGUGCAAAAUUUUCUGAACAAAAUUGAGAUAGCAAAAUCACAAUUGAUAAACAAUUCAGAGGAAUAUAUGUAAUAUUCAUAACAGAUUUUUUUUUGAAGAGAAAAGAUCAGUGAAUUAAAAAGUAU
rnacentral:misc_RNA from 1 species